GACGAACGCUGGCGGCGUGCUUAACACAUGCAAGUCGAACGGAAAGGCCCCAGCUUGCUGGGGUACUCGAGUGGCGAACGGGUGAGUAACACGUGGGUGAUCUGCCCUGCACUCUGGGAUAAGCCUGGGAAACUGGGUCUAAUACCGGAUAGGACCGUGCUUUAGUGUGUGCGGUGGAAAGUUUUUCGGUGCAGGAUGAGCCCGCGGCCUAUCAGCUUGUUGGUGGGGUAAUGGCCUACCAAGGCGGCGACGGGUAGCCGGCCUGAGAGGGUGUACGGCCACAUUAGGACUGAGACACGGCCCAGACUCCUACGGGAGGCAGCAGUGGGGAGUAUUGCACAAUGGGCGCAAGCCUGAUGCAGAGACGCCGCGUGGGGGAUGACGGCCUUCGGGUUGUAAACCCCUUUCGGCAGGGACGAAGCUUUUGUGACGGUACCUGCAUAAGAAGCACCGGCUAACUACGUG
rnacentral:rRNA from 1 species